UUUAAUCAUGGGUGAAGAGAGUGAGACAUCUUGUCAUUUUACAAAAUGUGAGGUUGAAUGAAUUUUAAAAUUCACAGGAGGGAGGAAACAAAGGCUUUUGCUCAGACUGGGAGACCCAGGGUGGCAAGAGCCUAACCUCUUCUCAAAGAAGUUUGUUUUUCACAUUUCCUCUUCGUAAACUUGCCCUCUUUGAUCUCUUUUCUUUCCGUGGUCAGAUAUCAAGACAGUUUUCUGGAGUUUUCCAAGUCCCAGGCAGCAGUAGCAGAGCCCAAACGAGGAGUGCAAUAAGCCAUGGUAUGAUGUGCCUGCUACUCCUUCGCCUUCCCCCAUAAUUGUGUUUCCUGAGGCCUCCCAGUCAUGCUUCCUGUUAAGCCUGUGGAACUUAUGCAAAUGCUUUGGGCACAACUUCACUAGAACACAAAAUGAAAUGUCAGAUGUUUGCAUCUUAUCAAAAAAUCACGGGGCCGAGACAACUACAGCAGCAGGCAAUACAGAUGGAGUCUUACUCUGUUGCCCAGGGUGGAGUACAGUGGCGCCAUACCAGCUCACUGCAACCUCUAACUGCGAGGCUUAAGUGAUUCUUGUGCCUCAGCCUCCCAAGUACCUGGGAUUACAGGUGAGUGCCA
rnacentral:lncRNA from 13 species